UGGGGAAUCUUGCACAAUGGAGGAAACUCUGAUGCAGCGACGCCGCGUGAACGAUGAAGCCCUUCGGGGUGUAAAGUUCUUUCGUCAGGAACGAUAAUGACGGUACCUGGAGAAGAAGCUGCGGCUAACUACGUGCCAGCAGCCGCGGUAAUACGUAGGCAGCAAGCGUUGUUCGGAAUUAUUGGGCGUAAAGAGUAUGUAGGUGGUGUCGUAAGUUUGGUGUGAAAUCUCCCGGCUUAACCGGGAGGGUGCGCCGAAGACUGCGAUGCUGGAGUAUGGGAGAGGGAAUCGGAAUUCCUGGUGUAGCGGUGAAAUGCGUAGAUAUCAGGAGGAACACCUGUGGUGUAGACGGGUUCCUGGACCAUUACUGACACUGAGAUACGAAAGCGUGGGUAGCAAA
rnacentral:rRNA from 1 species